CGAAAUGUCCGGUACAAAGCCAUCAGAAAAUCGGGCACCAUGUCUUCUUCUUCAUUUUGAAGAAAAUACCCCUCGUGGGUGACGAAUUACAUAAAUAUUUUACGAGCGCUGACUUACCCCUCUUGACGUUUUGACAGUUUGUCUGUUUGUUUUUCUCCCUCACCUUGCGACGUCGUUUCGGUUCGUUUCGGCAGGAACUGGAAAUGCUUUUGUUGGACAUGGCUCACCGAGCUAAGGUUGAGUUGUCCGGUCAGUACAUUGGCAAGUUCCAGUGCAAGCUAGGAUACGGUAAAGCUACUCCGACGACCAGAAUUUGGGUUGGUGGUCUGGUAACAUAGAGGAAAACCAGCAACUGCGCGAGAAAAUCCUACCCGGCCGGCACCAAACUUCAACAAGGUGGAAAGACGGAAAACGUCCGGACGAAUUUACCACUUUUGUAACGCCGAAGCAGAUGAAGCCGUAUCGAAUGCACUUCAUAAAAUUGAAGGAUUGCACCUGAGACGCUGAACGUUUAAUCCAUACAAAAAGUUUUUGGCGAUGCCGGAUUAUACGUAAGAAGAACAAUCCAAGCUGCUAUGAUCAAGACUUGUCAGAGCCUGUUCGAGAUGAGGGUAUCCUUGAAGGAACAAAAGAAAUAAGAUAAAGCGCGCUUCAGGAGAAAUAAUGCCACAGCGAAGCGGUGAUAAUAUGGCUGGGGCUGGCUGAGGGACACUCAGGGACUUGAGGGGCAUUAAACUAUUGCCUGAACAGAAGAAAUUUGUAGCCAACCUCAUCCCGUUCAAGAAGGCGCUCAAUCGAAAAAAAAACACCGUUAUCGACUUAGUUGUGGGCCUUAGUUGCUUAAGGAAAAUUCCAGAU